rnacentral:rRNA from 1 species
UACGUAGGGCGCAAGCGUUUAUCCGGAAUUAUUGGGCGUAAAGAGCUCGUAGGCGGUUUGUCGCGUCUGCCGUGAAAGUCCGGGGCUCAACUCCGGAUCUGCGGUGGGUACGGGCAGACUAGAGUGCAGUAGGGGAGACUGGAAUUCCUGGUGUAGCGGUGAAAUGCGCAGAUAUCAGGAGGAACACCGGUGGCGAAGGCGGGUCUCUGGGCAGUAACUGACGCUGGAGGAGCGAAAGCGUGGGGAGCGAACAGG